rnacentral:lncRNA from 1 species
UUCAGCCAUCUUCUCCCUUUCUUUUUAUCUUUUAACCUAGUUUUUUCACAUUAUGAAUAAACACAAUUCUACACAAAAAUUCCCCUAAAAAAACCCUAUCUUUUUCAUCUCAAAUCAAGCCCUUACUUUUUGAGUCAAUGCCACCAAAAAAAUCAACAAUGAAACCCCUCACAAACUCUCACUCCCUCUCACACCUACACGUCCACAAUCAUACUAACUCACCUCUUUCACUAACAUAAACAUCAACCAUCAUCAAACUUUUUUUUCACAAACCUCUAAUCC